rnacentral:rRNA from 1 species
UACGUAGGGGGCUAGCGUUGUCCGGACUUAUUGGGCGUAAAGGAGUUCGUAGGCGGUUCGUUAAGUCUGAUGUUAAAGACUGGGGCUCAACCCCGGGAGUGCAUUGGAUACUGGCGGACUGGAGUGUGGUAGAGGCUAGUGGAAUUCCCAGUGUAGCGGUGAAAUGCGUAGAUAUUGGGAAGAACACCAGUGGCGUAGGCGACUAGCUGGGCCAUAACUGACGCUGAGGAACGAAAGCCAGGGGAGCGAAUGGG